AUCCAGCUGACGAGUCUCAAACAGGACGAAACGCGCGUCCUGGAU
rfam:Schistosoma rodhaini strain Burundi genome assembly, scaffold: SROB_scaffold0000975